rnacentral:rRNA from 1 species
UACGUAGGGUGCAAGCGUUGUCCGGAAUUAUUGGGCGUAAAGAGCUCGUAGGCGGUUCGUCGCGUCGGCUGUGAAAACCCGAGGCUCAGCCUCGGGCCUGCAGUCGAUACGGGCGGACUGGAGUUCGGCAGGGGAGACUGGAAUUCCUGGUGUAGCGGUGAAAUGCGCAGAUAUCAGGAGGAACACCGGUGGCGAAGGCGGGUCUCUGGGCCGAUACUGACGCUGAGGAGCGAAAGUGUGGGGAGCGAACAGG